rnacentral:rRNA from 1 species
ACGGGAGGCAGCAGUGGGGAAUAUUGGGCAAUGGGGGCAACCCUGACCCAGCAACGCCGCGUGAAGGAAGAAGGCUUUCGGGUUGUAAACUUCUUUGACGAGGGACGAUAAUGACGGUACCUGACUAAGAAGCCCCGGCUAACUACGUGCCAGCAGCCGCGGUAAUACGUAGGGGGCAAGCGUUAUCCGGAUUUACUGGGUGUAAAGGGAGCGUAGACGGCAUGGCAAGUCUGAUGUGAAAACCCGGGGCUCAACCCCGGGACUGCAUUGGAAACUGUCAGGCUAGAGUGCAGGAGAGGUAAGUGGAAUUCCUAGUGUAGCGGUGAAAUGCGUAGAUAUUAGGAGGAACACCAGUGGCGAAGGCGGCUUACUGGACUGUAACUGACGUUGAGGCUCGAAAGCGUGGGGAGCAAACAGGAUUAGAUACCCUGGUA